GUCUACAGUCAUACCACCCUGAAUGCACAUGGUUUCGUCUGAUCCGGAAGCUAAGCAGAGUCGGGCUUGGUUAGGAUUGGGAUGGGAGAAAAGAACACUUCUGGUCUACAGUCA
rnacentral:rRNA from 1 species